GGUACUUAGCAACAGGUAACUGGAAUAGUGCUCUUGAAACAGGGUCUCGCCAUGUUGCCCAGGCUGGUCUCAAACUCCUGGACUCAAGCAAUCCUCCCACCUCAGCCUCCCAAAGUGGUGGGAUUACAGGCAUGAGUCACCACAGCCAGCCCAGUACCUGCUUUUAAGGAGUUCAUACCAACCAGAGUUCAAGCAAAAAAAAAAAAAAGCUCUUCUACAGGUCUACUUAAACUUUGAAAGAUGAGAUUGUUCAAAAAUGACACGAGAAAAUCACCCAUCACCACUAGGUUAAAGACUUGAAUAUGUGAGAGCUCCAGAGCCUCAAACUCCUACUACAGUCACUGAUCCAUAACAUUUUCCUCUUGCAAUAGACUCCACGCCAAAGUAGCACAGUCUUGC
rnacentral:antisense_RNA from 1 species